CACGUAGGGGGCGAGCGUUGUUCGGAAUUACUGGGCGUAAAGGGCGUGUAGGCGGCUAAGUAAGUCAGGUGUGAAAGGCCACGGCUCAACCGUGGUAUUGCACAUGAAACUGUUUAGCUUGAGUGCAGGAGAGGGAAGUGGAAUUCCUAGUGUAGCGGUGAAAUGCGUAGAUAUUAGGAGGAACACCAGUGGCGAAGGCGACUUCCUGGACUGUAACUGACGCUGAGGCGCGAAAGCGUGGGGAG
rnacentral:rRNA from 1 species